UACGGAGGGAGCUAGCGUUGUUCGGAAUUACUGGGCGUAGAGCGCGCGUAGGCGGCUUUGUAAGUUAGAGGUGAAAGCCCGGGGCUCAACCCCGGAAUUGCCUUUAAGACUGCAUCGCUUGAAUCCGGGAGAGGUGAGUGGAAUUCCGAGUGUAGAGGUGAAAUUCGUAGAUAUUGGGUAGAACACCGGUGGCGAAGGCGGCUCUCUGGACCGGAUCUGACGCUGAGGCGCGAAAGCGUGGGGAGCAAACAGG
rnacentral:rRNA from 1 species